CACACUGCAGACGAGAGAGCGCGUAUUCUUGUACAUACGGCAAAUGUGCAGCGCGUAAAACGCAAAAUCCAUAUUCGAUUAGCUCAAGGCCCCGAGAGAGGCGCAAGUUAUGCAGAUAAACAGCGAGCAAAGGCACAUUAUCACCGCUGAAACGUUAUAUUGCCACGAGCCACUGUACAUAUAAGACGAUUGAAAAAAUCACCAAUUCAACCUCACGAUCAGAAGUCUCGAAACUACAGAUAACAUACUAACAACCGUCUCAUCUCAUCAA